rnacentral:tRNA from 1 species
AAGAAAUUAGUUAAAAUAUAAAUAACAUUGAAUUGUCAAUUCAAAAUUAUAUAAUUUUAUUUCUUU